rnacentral:rRNA from 1 species
CCACGGGUGGCUCCAGUGGGGAAUAUUGCACAAUGGGCGCAAGCCUGAUGCAGCCAUGCCGCGUGUAUGAAGAAGGCCUUCGGGUUGUAAAGUACUUUCAGCGGGGAGGAAGGGAGUAAAGUUAAUACCUUUGCUCAUUGACGUUACCCGCAGAAGAAGCACCGGCUAACUCCGUGCCAGCAGCCGCGGUAAUACGGAGGGUGCAAGCGGUAAUCGGAAUUACUGGGCGUAAAGCGCACGCAGGCGGUUUGUUAAGUCAGAUGUGAAAUCCCCGGGCUCAACCUGGGAACUGCAUCUGAUACUGGCAAGCUUGAGUCUCGUAGAGGGGGGUAGAAUUCCAGGUGUAGCGGUGACAUGCGUAGAGAUCUGGAGGAAUACCGGUGGCGAAGGCGGCCCCCUGGACGAAGACUGACGCUCAGGUGCGAAAGCGUGGGGAGCAAACAGGAUUAGAUACCCGAGUAGUC